AUUUUAUAAAUCAAUCAAUUUAAUUUACGAUUGCAGGGAAUACCGAAUAAUGGAAUUUCAACGUUUUUAGGUGUUAUCAGGUGCGGCGUCAGCACGUUGCUGCGCUAGUUGUGCGGCGGCACAGCAGUGCAGCAUCAGCGCUGUUAGUGCGUAUGCCCGUCCUUCGCCACCAGCCCCGUCUGGGUCACUUGCAUCUUCUGCUGAUAAUUCCUCACGAACUGCCAGUAACUAGAAGGAAAACAUCAAAUUAAACUUCGAAUUCAGUAAUCAAUAAUCAAAUCUAUACUAAUAUAUGCGGUAGGCAGCGGCUUGGCUCUCCCCCUGGCAUUGCUGAAGUCCAUGGGCGACGGUAACCACUCAUCAUCAGGUGGGCCGUGUACUUGUCUGCCUACAAGGACAAUAAAAAAAAUUAUAAAUCUAAAGUGGUUUUUACGGAUGUUCCGUUAUAACUACUGAACCAUACAUCCGAUUAACUUGAAACUUGGUACACAUGUAGAAAAUACAUAUACUUAAUGGAUAGACUAAUAUUUAUAUGAGUGUUGGACUCCCUAAUAAUAAUGUUAAUAUUAAAUGCGCAACGAAGCUGGCGAGUACGGUUAGUAGUUCAUAAGGUUCAUCGGCUGUGUUAAUGAUAGAAUUUAUCGAAAAUUGAUGAUGUACAAAUAUAAUUUCAGUUCUGUAA